UACGCAGGCGGUUAUGUAAGACAGAUGUGAAAUACCCGGGCUUAACCUGGGAAUGGCAUUUGUGACUGCAUAGCUAGAGUGUGUCAGAGGGGGGGUAGAAUUCCACGUGUAGCAGUGAAAUGCGUAGAUAUGUGGAGGAAUACCGAUGGCGAAGGCAGCCCCCUGGGAUAACACUGACGCUCAUGUACGAAAGCGUGGGGAGCAAACAGGAUUAGAUACCCUGGUAGUCCACGCCCUAAACGAUGUCGACUAGUUGUUGGGUCUUAAUUGACUUAGUAACGCAGCUAACGCGUGAAGUCGACCGCCUGGGGAGUACGGUCGCAAGAUUAAA
rnacentral:rRNA from 1 species